CUUUUUUUCCCCUCUCCGGCUGCUCUUCACCGCUUCAAAUGGGGCGAAACCUCUUACUUCCACCUCCGGGAGCCAUGUUGCCUCGUCUUCUUUGUGGUACACGCGCUCUAGCUGGAGGAGGGGGAGCGGGGCGGGGCGGAGAGGCAUCCUGGGAAUUGUUGUCUUCUCUACAGCCUCAGGAUACGGUCGUGGAACAAGAUUACCACCCCUGUCAGCCCUUGCGCUCACAGGGACACAAGUGGCGGGGGGUGCUGAUAUGUGUUUAGGAUUUGCACUCGAACUCCUUGCAUCCACCGAGUUGCUCAGGCUAUUUACUGCUUUUCCGAGGAAGAGGAGUUUGGGGGGAAGGAGUGAUGCAUCAUGGGAAAGGAAGUAGCAACGGAUUAAUUGAAUUCACCUAAAGUAUGCUAAAAUUCUCCAGAAGUGAGAAUUUUUCUUUCACGGGAAAAAAUAAUGUCUGUAGUUUUUAAUUAAUGAGAAAGUGAAGUGAACUUUUACAUAUGAAAAGUAAAAAUAAUAACCACCAACAUUUCUGUAGCAAUCCAUUUAACUUUUAGCUACAGUAAUUUUUUGAAGAAGAGUUGCUGGCUCCAGUUUAUGAAUAGUGAAACUUAUUUAUUUGCCCAAGGCAGUGAAGAGACAAAGUGAAAUUGAGUAUCCCUUAUCCUCAGGAUCUCUUUGGUCAAGGAGAUAAGCACCAACACAAAUUAAACUACAAGUUGUACUUUUCUGGUACUCACUGCUACAAUAUCCUGUGGUUAGGACUUUGUUUCCAAACCUCAUUGUGAAUCAAUCUGUCAGGGAGCUGUCACAAAAUAACCCCAAGGACUCCAAUUCCAGGCGUACAGAAUCAUAAUCCUUUGAAAAAUGUAUUUUCAACGUGCUCCUCAGUUGAUUCUGAUGUAGUACCUGUCUUCUGACUGGCUUUUAGGGCCCACUCUUUCAGGAGGGGGAGGGCAGAAAACAAGAUCUGUUCUGUUCUGUAACAGUGAGUAGUAGGCAGAUCUGGCUUGGAACUUAAUGGAAGGUGGGAGAUAAUAGCAGGCAGAGUUAGAAUGCAGAAGUGCAGAACCCAAGAGUAGGCAACAUGAAUGAAGACCGAGAACAGUCUAUUAGGACGCAAAAGCUGAAAAAGCUUCAAGCUCCAUAAAGGAAUUUAUCUUAGAAGAAUAGUGGAGAUAGAACAAGACAGAUUGGCAAAGAAUAAGUAGAUGGUGAAGCAGUGCACAUAGGUAACUCUUUUGAAAACAAGCAGUGAAAGGAGAGAGCAGUGGCUUGAAGGGAUGAAGGAUGGAAAGAAUAGAGGUUUUCUAGUAUAAUGGACACCUAUCACAUUGUCUGCUCAGCCCUCCUUUUCUAGGAACUGACCCUCCCCCCAUUCACAGAGUUCCAGCAAAAACUGUCAGAGAUGAGAGAUAAGGAGUCUUCAUUGUGUUUAAGUCCCAGGUUCUAGAUCAUUCCUGAGGCAUUCUUGUCCUUGGUUUCUCUGAGGCAACCCCAUAUCCAUAUUAUUACUAUUUUUGCUUAAGAUAGAGUUGGGUUAGAAACUACUUAUGACCAAAAAGUAUUAAUUCAAGAACUGGUACCAGAAAUGGAGUGUGGCAAAUUACAGACCCUAAAAUAUGGAACUGGCAGAGAUUGGAGAUCUCCCACGUCAGUUAAUGGGAAGUUGGCAUUCUAUGUUAUUUGGCAGUGAAGCAGUUGCUUAUUGCUUUUGAGACUCAAAACAGAGCAGCCCUUCUGCCUGUAUCAAGAGGUCUGCAAUUGCUGAGGGUCAGAUAUUCAUGGGCUUUGCUGACUUAUAGCAGUAGGACUCUUUCACUUCAAAUGUUUCACUGAUUAGGAAACUGGCAUCUAGGCAGUUGGAAUGAGGUUAUCUGUAUAAGCCUCCAUAGAAUUUCUUGUUCUCCAACUCCCGCAAAUGUGAUGUCUCCCUCUGUAAAUGCAUUCAGCUGAAAUGCAAGGAAGAGAGGGCAAGUGUAACAUUCCCAGAGCAGAUCAGAAAAGAGGCUUCACAGCCUUGAACUCAGCCUAUUAUUCCGUAUCCAAGCUCUGAAUUGGAGACCUUGAGCAGAAUGCCAGGGAGAAUAAGCCAAGUCCUUAGGUAGGGUGCUAAGAAAUAGAAGCUGCAACCAGAUGAGCCAGGUUAUUCUCUUUAGCAAAUCUAAAGAUUCAAAGAGCAUAACUUGACAAGAUUCUUGGCACUUGUUAUUAGCUUCUGAUUCUGAGUCCCCUCAAAUGAAAUCAGCAGACAGUCAAAUGAGGUUUUGAGGAAGUUGUAUCACUAGAAAAUCAUAUCUGGUGGAUAGGGACCAUGAGCCAGAGCAGUGAUUCUCAAAGUAUGGUCCCUGGACCAGUACAUCAGCAUCACUGAUGAACUGUUAAAAGUGUAAAUUCUUGGGCCUCACCCCAGACCUCCAGAAUCAGAAACUCUGGGGGUGGGGCCAGCAAUCUGUGGUUUAAGUCCAAGAUAAACUAAGUCCGACAGUUAAAGCAGUGAAAACAGAUUUUAUUCAGUAACUACUGUCAGUAGGGGAAAGAGCUGAGCUCCAUUCUGAUUUGUGCAGAGGUGACUGGGCCUUUUAAAGGGAGAAUGAGGAAAGAGGCAGAAGAGCAAGCGGGGGCUCAGUAAAGUCAGAGAAGUGAAAAACUACAAAGGGUUGGUCAGUGUAAAUGCAAUUAGGCAGCUGUGUCUGCUAGCUGGCAACUAUGGAAGAUAGGAUUCUAUCCUCCCACAGAUACUGGGAGACAGAGGCCCUAGCCUUCCUGAUGAUUACAUUUCAAAGGAAUGGUCCUUGAGAGAGACACUCCCGAGUUGUAGGAGAUACAUAUACAAAGGGAUAGGGGAAGAAUUCACAAUUGUAAGCCCUUUUUAGUAAAUGCUCUAAGAAAGGAGGUCAGGGGCCUAUGUCAGGUGUCAGCAAGAGCAAACUAUAAACUCUUCUGACAGCCCUGAGCUUUUCCAGAUGGGAACUGGGUCAUCCCAGGGAUUCGGCCUUAGGCAGCUAGAAGCCAUGCUAAAGUUAGGUCAAGACUGGUAGUACAGGCGUUUAAAUGGAAUGUUUGUGUCGAGAGUUUUUGCAGGUCUCACUAGCCCUCCAGGUGAUUCUAAUGCACUCUCAAGUUUGAGAAUCACUGUUCUUCUAGAGCGUUCCCUAGGCCCAAGUACAGACCGGUUAAGCAAGAAGGUGCGUCAAUAAAUUGACUCCCAUAAGUUUUUCUAUGCUCAUAAUUUAUUUCCUUUAUUACUAUCCAGGUGGAAAUGGUGCAUACUCAGGCCUGGUGGCUGAUAAUGGUGUGCCCCUCUCCUUUCCUAAAAGAAAGUUUUCAUUGUGGUUAAUCUAUCUUUACUAUUGCAUGUUAGAUCUAUUGGUGGCAGUUAAGUUGGUAAAAGGUUGCAGGAUCAAGGGGAGCCACAUUUAGAUUGUCACUGAACUAGAGGAGGAAGGGGGAUGUCCAUGCCAUGCCAUUGCUUCUGGAUGCAGUAGUUGCAUGUGACUUGCAGUUGUCCAUGGAUUAUAUUAGGUGUGGGCAUUUUUGGAAUUGUAGAUAUGGGGAAAAUGGCAUAUAUGUUUAUGGGGCUGUCAAGAGGAGGACUAUAGGUAAACAUCUAUUGUAUUAUCUCCCCAGCACCCCUUUUCUACCACCUUCUCUACCUUAAUCCUCCUGAUUGCAUCAGGAGCCAUCCUUUAUGUACCUUCCCAGAGAAUCUGGGAUUGAGCUGAAGGAGGAGAGAUGAAACAUCCUGGUUGCAUUCAAGCACCUGAUUUGUUCCUAAGGCCCAACUGCAUGAUCCUUGGGUUUUGUGAGACACUGCUAUCUUUAUAAUAAAUUCCUUUUUGCUUAA